UAGGACCCUUAUUUCUGACGUCAUAAUACGAUGACUUCAUCGUUACGUCACAAUCAACUUCAAUAUCAACGUCACAAUGCAUUCAGAUAGUUACAGCUGAAACAUUGAGAAGGUUCAUGUCAUAUUACAAAAAGAAAUAAGUUCUUCUGACGAUGGCAACGUGUAUUGGCUAUUACGAUGAAGUCGAGAGAGAGAUGGAAAGGAGAUUUUUCCCGAGGGAGGUGAUCGACGAGUACCAAGACUCCUUCUAUAGACAGUAUGGGAUUAUACCAAAUACUGCAAGGCCGCUACUGAGUGACUUAACCCACCAAAAGGUGGCUAUAC